GGAGACAUAGCUCAGUGGUAGAACAUUUGCCUGGCAUGCAUGAGACCCUGGCUUAUGUCUCCA
rnacentral:tRNA from 1 species